rnacentral:lncRNA from 1 species
GAUGUUUUAAUGAUUGAUUGGCUAUUAUUUGCUUAACUUGACAUUGUGUAGGGUUUGUUUUUUUUUCUUGGUUUAUAUUCAGGUAAGAGUUUUACAACAUCUAUGUUGAAUGUCACAUUAAACCAAAUGUUUGUGUGUACACAAUGAAUUUGUCUAUGUUCUGUGCUGGAUGCUGCUGCCUCAUACAUAUCCAACCAAAAAAAUUCAAGGUUGUCACACAAGGCCAAGGUUGUUUUAUUAAUGCCUCCUCCAUUAGUCAAGCUCAAUUUCAGAUGUGUCCCUUUUACCAUCCUUUGAGUUUUGUCUCUUUAAAACAGAAAAUGCAAGCAGUGGCAUUAUUUGUGUCCUUUGGACACAUUCUCCAAUUAUUUUGUAAUUUUUUUCUUCUUUCGACUUUUUCUCCUCUAUUUGUUCCCACAUCCUAAUUAUUUUUAUUCCUUAUAUCCCUGUUUUUGACUGUCUGUAUCCCUCUUAUUUUCAUUCUUUACCAAGAUUAUAGAUAUCAGAAGAUGUGGUAUGAGUGCCAAUGAGACAACUCUCCAUCCAAGUCACAAUUUGUGAAAGUAAACCAUUAUAGCUUAAAGUACGGUCUUCAACAUGGAGCUUUGGCUCUCACCCCACAGCAAGCUCUGUGUGCA